UCGAGCGGAAACGAGAAGGUGCUUGCACCUUCGGCGUCGAGCGGCGGACGGGUGAGUAAUGGCUGGGUACCUGCCCUGAUGUGGGGGAUAACAGUUGGAAACGACUGCUAAUACCGCAUAACGUCUACGGACCAAAGAGGGGGAUCUUCGGACCUCUCGCGUCAGGAUGGGCCCAGUUGGGAUUAGCUAGUUGGUGAGGUAAUGGCUCACCAAGGCGACGAUCCCUAGCUGGUUUGAGAGGAUGAUCAGCCACACUGGAACUGAGACACGGUCCAGACUCCUACGGGAGGCAGCAGUGGGGAAUAUUGCACAAUGGGGGAAACCCUGAUGCAGCCAUGCCGCGUGUGUGAAGAAGGCCUUCGGGUUGUAAAGCACUUUCAGCUGUGAGGAAGGGUGAGUCGUUAAUAGCGGUUCAUCUUGACGUUAGCAGCAGAAGAAGCACCGGCUAACUCCGUGCCAGCAGCCGCGGUAAUACGGAGGGUGCGAGCGUUAAUCGGAAUUACUGGGCGUAAAGCGCAUGCAGGCGGUCUGUUAAGCAAGAUGUGAAAGCCCCGGGCUCAACCUGGGAAAGUCAUUUUGAACUGGCAGGCUAGAGUCUUGUAGAGGGGGGUAGAAUUUCAGGUGUAGCGGUGAAAUGCGUAGAGAUCUGAAGG
rnacentral:rRNA from 1 species